AACCUCCCCCCUCUCCUCCCCUGCUCUCCCUCCCUCAUUCCCCUUCCAAUCUCUCCCUCUUGGCUCGGGCAGCCUCAGCUGGAGGAUACAAACAAUCCCGGGCUGCUGGCUGGGCCUGCAAGGGCCAGGACGAAGCCAGACCCCGCAGAGGCUUUAAAUGGUGGGGCGCCCUGUCCCCUGAGCUGGAGUGAGCUCUAUCUCCCCACGGGGGAAGCAGGAACAAAAGCCAGGAUGUAAUACGACAGAGGACUCCUGGGAACUGAGCUCAGAAGGGAAGGCUCUCAAUGGACAUCUGUUGGACUGAAGUGGAAGAAACAAAAGCUCGUCAGCAGCUCCAGAACUGAAGAGCUUCGUCACUGUCUUCUACGAUUGCAUGGCUCCACCGCCAUCUCAAGGGAUUUAAGCACCUCAAGAAAGCUAAAGACACUACGCUCAUUAGAAUGCCAAAAAUUAAAAAGACGGAUCAUCCCAAGCACUGGUGUUGGCAAGGAUGUGGGCAAGUGGAUCUUGCAUACACUGCUGGUGGGGGUGUGAAAGAGUAGAGUUCAGCAGUUUCUUAAAAAGUAAAACAUACGUUUACCAUAUGAUCCAGGCAUUCUGCUUCUGGUUGUUCACACAAGAGAGAUGAAGGCACGUGUCUACACAAGGACGGGUGCACAAACAGUCUUGUGACCCCUUUAUUCCUAAUGGCCCCAAACUGGAAACAACCCAAAUGUCCACCAAUAAGUGAAUGAAUACACAAAUUGUGAUAUAUCCACACAAUGGAAUACCACUCAGCAAUAAAAAGGAAUGCACUAAUGACAGACACUACAACAGGGACAAAUCUCACAAAAAUUACAUGGAAUGAAAGAGUCCAAUGAAGAAAGAGUACAUACUGGAUGAUUCCAUUUAUAGAAAGUUCUAGAAAAGGAAAAAUAUAGUGACGGAAAGCAGAUCAGUGGUUACCUGGGGCAGGCGUUGGGGGCAUGGAUUGUAAAGGGGCACAAGGAAGGCUUUGGGGGUGAUGGAGAUGCUCAUAUUUUAAGACCGUGGUGGUUUCACAGGUGAAGGUUUCAAAUUAAACACCAUAAAUAUACACAGUUUAUUGUCCAUCAAUAUGACCUCAAUGAAAACUGAGGGGGAAAAGCUCUCUCUCUGGGAGAGGGAGGUAGUAUCUGGUCAAAGAUAAAAAUGAGACCUCUCUGGGUUCAGGCCUGGCCCACUUACCCCCAUUCGGUUCUCUGGGGAGACGGGUUAAUAAAUAGGCUUUCCAUUAUUCUUGGAAUCCUCCCCAAGCUGGGCAGCACAGUGGCUGAGCCGGUGUCUAUUUCCAGCACCAGACAGCCCUGGUGCAGGACAAGCUCCCAGCUUCCAGUCUUGAUCUUGCCCUUUGUCUUACGAGCCAGGUGGCUUUGACCUUCAAUAAUUCUUUUUUAGCUUGUCCUGUUUCUCUCUUUGGGCAGGGGCAGGGGUCGGUACGGAGGGCUACACUAUCUCUAACUUAAACUCUAAGUUUUGUUUGGGGGAAACAGACUCUGGUAUUUUGGGUUCUUAUUUGCACAGGGCCACAAAUACCAGAUCUUCUGCAGGCGGCUUGUAGCCAUGGGGAUACAUUUCCAGGGUGCUUUACAUACCUGAGAAAGGCCUAACUCCAAAUUUGCCACUGAAUUUUUAUCUGUUGGCACUGGAAAUAAAACAUGAUCCAUGGCUGAGCUCUCCCAGUGCAGCCUCUGGGAAUGAGGCUGGGAGAGGCUGGGAAGCUGGAGGAAAAUUUCCCCCAAGCCAGGUGCAGCGUGCAGGGCAUGGAGCUGGAGUGCAAGCGCAGUUGAGACAGAGGAGCCCCAGGAGAGAAUGAGCAGAGAAUGGGCUCUCAGGCCCCUGCUGCUCCCCCCCGCCGGCAUCGGCAUUGCUGCCUUUCACAGAGGGGCAGCCAGGCAGCCCUGGCCUUGGCAGCAGGCUCCUGGGAGUGGGCUCGGGGGGCCCAGUAUUGGAAAGGCAGAGAUCUCAUUUCUCUGACUGGGUUGCAGUGGCCAGAAAAGCGCACUGCCCCGAGAGAGUUGAGGAAUUUCCUGUCUUGCACAGACUGAGAAGGCUCAAGGACAAAAUGUUUUUGCCUGUGCAGAGUCCUCCCUGUUCCCACCUCUCAGGCUGAGUCCCCAGCUUCAGCGCUCUGUGAUGUGGGCUCUGAUUCCUAGGGGCUGCGGGAACACCAACAAUGCCAGCUCCUUCAAGCCAGGGGUGCCCCCCUACAAACACACUUGGGUCUUCUCACUGCCCCAUUCCUGGCCUGGGGCUCUGGCAAAGCCACGUCACCCUAUGGCUCUCAGCCAGUGGGGACUAAAAGCAUAUCUGCACCUCCUUCUCUUGACGGUGGCCUGGCCACUGCCUCCCACACGGUUCUCUGGAACCCACUGGAAACGAUCUAAGGCCGGGGCCUGGCCUUGGACAAAUCACGGCCUCUCUCUGAAGCUCGACUUCCACAUCGGUAUUUAGGAAAACAAUAGCAUCAUCACAGGACUUUGGAGUUUUAAAGAGACAAUAUGUGAAAAUACUUUGAACAAGGAUUCACCAUGGACGUUAACAUUUGAGCGAGGCUAGCACGGGAGCUGACCCACACCCAUCCACUUGGGCUCGGCUACUCUGUGGGUUUAUCAACAGCAAAAGAACAGACAGAGAGUGGGCCCUCUCCCAAGGAUCACAGACUCAUUUUUAUUUGACCAGAGGCAAACUCUGUUAGGAACACAAACGUGUCGCUUAAAACUAUCAUGGGAUACAUCUAAAAUAAAUUGAGAACAAACUUUGGCUACACGUCCUCCAGGAGAGAGAUGAGUGAGAGAGACUAAAUAUGUGGGAACUGGCCCUGGGGCAGGCACUGGGUUCCCUCGCCUCUGACCGUGGGCUUCGUUCCCCCAGACCCCACAGCAAGAAUGGAGGGAAAAGGGAAAUGAUUGGGAGUCCACGUGCAGAAUGAACCUGUUCUCAGACCUGCAGUUUGGGGUCACCGGGACUAGAGGGACUGUGAAUCCAGGCUGGUGAAUGGCUGAAUCAUCCCCAGCAUUCAACAGCCCCAAAUUCUUCAUGGGGUAAGAAAACCAACCAACCCUCCCUACAAACACACUCUGCACUGGGAUAAGGAGCUGGUGAGGAUCUCAAUUUGGGGGCAAGGAGCUUCCUUUAGGCAGUCUGAGAAAAGCCACCCGAACUAGAACCCCGAAACCUGAGUCCCAACCCCACCACCCCACGUUACUGAUAGAGAGGCCAGGACAUGCCCAGGGGAAGUGACUUGCCCAAGGUCACAGAGCCAGUUACAAGCAGACCUAGAGCUCACACCCAGGCCUUCUGAUGGCAAGGCCAGGAUGUCCUGGAGACUGUCUCCAGUGGUGCCCAGGGUGAACUCUCCAUGAGGACAAAUGCAUUAUCUGCUGAUCCACAUCCUAGGUCCUUGACAAGGGGGGAAAGCUAAAUCAGAGCAGGGGCAAGCCAGGUGAAAAGGGCAAGGUGUGUGUAUUUCACUUAAUUCCAAAGCCAAAUAAAUGAUUCCGGCUCAUCUGUGGCCCAUAGACCAUGCCUCCGUUUGUGCUCAGUCUCGUGUAGACUCAUAAACUGAGAAGUGACAGACGAAACUGGCCCUCUGAACUCACAGCUCUAGCUGCAUGAUCUCAAGCAAGUUCCCCAAGCUAAGCCUCAGUGUUCUCUCCCCCAAAUGGAUGAUAAUACAGUUAACAUCAAUGAUGGAUGAUGAUACAAUAUUGAUAAGUGUAAUGCUUACAUCAUUAGCGUAACGUGAUAAAUACUGUAGCGUUUUUAGAUGAUUAAAAGAAAUUAUGUAAAACAGCUAGAACAUUAUCUGGCAUGUAAUAAGUAUAAAAAUAAAUAUUCUGUGCCUUUCCUAACCCAACUGACUUUUUCGGCUGGGCAAACUCAAUCU